rnacentral:rRNA from 1 species
CCUACGGGUGGCUGCAGUGAGGAAUAUUGGUCAAUGGGCGCGAGCCUGAACCAGCCAAGUCGCGUGAGGGAAGACGGUCCUAUGGAUUGUAAACCUCUUUUGUCGGGGAGCAAAAGACGCCACGCGUGGCGUUCCGAGAGUACCCGAAGAAAAAGCAUCGGCUAACUCCGUGCCCGCAGCCGCGGUAAUACGGGGGAGUCAAGCGUUGUCCGGAUUUAUUGGGGUUAAAGGGUGCGUAGGAGGUUAGAUAAGUUAGAGGUGAAAUCCCGGGGCUCAAAUCCGGCACUGCCUCUGAUACUGGCGGGCUAGAGUUUAGUUGCGGGAGGCGGAAUGUAGGGUGUAGCGGUGAAAUGCAUAGAGAUCAUACAGAACACAGAUUGCGAAGGCAGCUUACCAAACUACGACUGACGUUGAGGCACGAAAGCGUGGGGAGCAAACAGGAUUAGAUACCCGAGUAGUC